CAUGGCGCCUGUUUAUCAAAAACAUGGUUUUUUGUAUUGGUAAAAAAUCUGGUCUGCUCACUGCUAUAUGUAAAUAGCCGCAGUAUUUUGACUGUGCUAAGGUAGCAUAAUCAUUUGCCUCUUUAUUGGAGGCUGGAAUGAAUGAUUUAACGAGAUAAUGACUGUCUCUAAGGAGCAAUAUUGAAUUUGAUUAGUUAGUAAAAAGGCUACUAUAAUUCUGAGGGACGAUAAGACCCUAUUAAGCUUAAUUUUUGAAUUUUACUGGGGUGGUAUUUUAAGAUUAGGAUCUUAUGGUAUGAAGGUUGGAUCAUUAGGCCCAAUAGUAUUGAGUGUAAGAUGAAGCUACUAUAGGGAUAACAGCUUUAUUUUUUUAUUGAGUUCUUAUUUUAAAAAAAGUUUGUGACCUCGAUGUUGAAUUAAGGGUUCUGUUUAGUGAUGUAGUUAAACUAGAAGGUCUGUUCGACUUUUAAUUCCUUACGUGAUCUGAGUUCAGACCGGCCAUGG
rnacentral:rRNA from 1 species